UUACGGCCGUAUCACGUAGAAAAACACCGGCUCCUGUACAAUCACCGAAGUUAAGCAACGUUGAACCUGGUCAGUACUGUGAUGGAUGACCGCUGCGGAAUACCAGGUGCUGUAA